UAGAGUUUGAUCAUGGCUCAGAUUGAACGCUGGCGGCAUGCCUUACACAUGCAAGUCGAACGGUAACGCGGGGCAACCUGGCGACGAGUGGCGAACGGGUGAGUAAUAUAUCGGAACGUGCCCAACAGUGGGGGAUAGCCCGGCGAAAGCCGGAUUAAUACCGCAUACGACCUGAGGGUGAAAGCGGGGGAUCGCAAGACCUCGCGCUGAUGGAGCGGCCGAUAUCAGAUUAGGUAGUUGGUGGGGUAAAAGCCUACCAAGCCAACGAUCUGUAGCUGGUCUGAGAGGACGACCAGCCACACUGGGACUGAGACACGGCCCAGACUCCUACGGGAGGCAGCAGUGGGGAAUUUUGGACGAUGGGCGCAAGCCUGAUCCAGCCAUGCCGCGUGCGGGAAGAAGGCCUUCGGGUUGUAAACCGCUUUUGUCAGGGAAGAAAUCUUUUGAGCUAAUACCUCGAAAGGAUGACGGUACCUGAAGAAUAAGCACCGGCUAACUACGUGCCAGCAGCCGCGGUAAUACGUAGGGUGCGAGCGUUAAUCGGAAUUACUGGGCGUAAAGCGUGCGCAGGCGGUUGUGCAAGCCAGAUGUGAAAUCUCUGGGCUUAAUCUGGGAACUGCAUUUGUGACUGCACAGCUAGAGUACGGCAGAGGGGGAUGGAAUUCCGCGUGUAGCAGUGAAAUGCGUAGAUAUGCGGAGGAACAUCGAUGGCGAAGGCAGUCUCUUGGGUCUGUACUGACGCUCAUGCACGAAAGCGUGGAGAGCAAACAGGAUUAGAUACUCUGGUAGUCCACGCUCUACACGAUGUCAACUGGGUUGUUGGACGGCUUGCUGUUCAGUAACGAAGCUAACGCGUGAAGUUGACCGCCUGGGGAGUACGGUCGCAAGGAUGAAACUCAAAGGAAUUG
rnacentral:rRNA from 1 species